UACGUAGGGGGCAAGCGUUGUCCGGGUUUAUUGGGCGUAAAGAGCGUGUAGGCGGCCAAGCAGGUCCGCUGUGAAAACUCGAGGCUCAACCUCGAGACGUCGGUGGAAACCGUUUGGCUAGAGUCCGGAAGAGGAGUGUGGAAUUCCCGGUGUAGCGGUGAAAUGCGCAGAUAUCGGGAAGAACACCCGUGGCGAAGGCGGCACUCUGGGACGGUACUGACGCUGAGACGCGAAAGCGUGGGGAGCGAACAGG
rnacentral:rRNA from 1 species